rnacentral:rRNA from 1 species
UACAGAGGUCUCAAGCGUUGUUCGGAUUCAUUGGGCGUAAAGGGUGCGUAGGCGGCGCGGUAAGCCGGGUGUGAAAUCUCGGAGCUUAGCUCCGAAACUGCAUUCGAUACUGCCGUGCUUGAGGACUGGAGAGGAGACUGGAAUUUACGGUGUAGCGGUGAAAUGCGUAGAUAUCGUAAGGAAGACCAGUGGCGAAGGCGGGUCUCUGGACAGUUCCUGACGCUGAGGCACGAAGGCCAGGGGAGCAAACGGG